CACCAUGAGCAGACCGCGCACACGUUAACGCCUCAUGGGGCGCCCGAUGGGCAGGCCAAGCGCCUCCCGUCGGCGCCCCGCCCCUUCCGUGCCCUCACGCGAGCGAGCACGCCAGGCGGGUCCAACAAAUCCACGGCGCGGAAGGCGCCAAGGAUCACAACGUCGGAGCGCCGCCCCCAUCAUGGCCCCGUCCGCGGCAAGCCGUGCGGGGGAUGCGCGUCUCCCGAGAUUGAAUGACAUGAAAACGACUCUCGGCAACGGAUAUCUCGGCUCUCGCAUCGAUGAAGAACGUAGCAAAAUGCGAUACUUGGUGUGAAUUGCAGAAUCCCGUGAACCAUUGAAUCUUUGAACGCAAGUUGCGCCCGAAGCCAUCCGGCCGAGGGCACGCCUGCCUGGGCGUCACGCAUCGCAUCGCGCCACUGCCCUCCCUCCCUGCGCUGGGACGGGGGGACACGGUGCGGAGACUGGCCUCCCGUGCGCCCCGGCGUGCGGCUGGCCCAAAUGGGAUCCCCCGGUGCUGCACGCCACGAUGAUUGGUGGUUGAUUGCUCGACUCACGUGCCGUCGUGCCCCGCAGCAUCACCGGCUAGGGUAUCCGGAAGGACCCAACGGCGUGCG
rnacentral:sRNA from 1 species